rnacentral:rRNA from 1 species
CCUACGGGUGUCAGCAGUGGGGAAUAUUGCGCAAUGGGCGAAAGCCUGACGCAGCGACGCCGCGUGAGGGAUGAAGGUCUUCUGAUCGUAAACCUCUGUCAGCAGGGAAGUACGGUCACUGUGCUAAUCAUCUUUGCAUUGACGGUACCUGCAAAGGAAGCACCGGCUAACUCCGUGCCAGCAGCCGCGGUAAUACGGAGGGUGCGAGCGCUAAUCGGAAUUACUGGGCGGAAAGGGCUCGUAGGCGGUAGGUCAAGUCAAGGGUGAAAUCCCCGGGCUCAACGUGGGAAUUGCCUUUGAAACUGGCAGACUGGAGUGUGUGAGAGGAGAGCGGAAGUCGAGGUGUAGGAGUGAAAUCCGGAGAUAUCGGGAGGAACAUCAGUGGCGAAGGCGACUAACUGGAACAUAACUGACGCUGAGGAGCGAAAGCGUGGGUAGCAAACAGGAUUAGAUACCCCAGUAGUC